rnacentral:rRNA from 1 species
UACAGAGACCUCAAGCGUUAUCCGGAAUCAUUGGGCGUAAAGCGUACCGAUAGGUGGUUUGGUUAGUCUUGGGUGAAAUCCCGAAGCUCAACUUCGGGUUUGCUUAAGAUACUGCCAGACUAGAGGGGCAAAGAGGAGACUGGAACGAACGGUGUAGUAGUGAAAUGCGUUGAUAUCGUUCGGAACACCAGUGGCGAAGGCGGGUCUCUGGGCAAUUCCUGACGCUGAGGCGCGAAAGCGUGGGGAGCAAACGGG